rnacentral:rRNA from 1 species
GAUGAACGCUGGCGGCGUGCCUAACACAUGCAAGUCGAACGAAGCACUUAUACGGAUUCCUUCGGGAAGAAGUAUUUGUGACUGAGUGGCGGACGGGUGAGUAACGCGUGGGCAACCUGCCCUAUACCGGGGGACAACAGCUGGAAACGGCUGCUAAUACCGCAUAAGCGCACAGAGUCGCAUGGCUCGGUGUGAAAAACUCCGGUGGUAUAGGAUGGACCCGCGUCCGAUUAGCUAGUUGGUAGUGUAAUGGACUACCAAGGCGACGAUCGGUAGCCGGCCUGAGAGGGCGGACGGCCACAUUGGGACUGAGACACGGCCCAGACUCCUGCGGGAGGCAGCAGUGGGGGAUAUUGCACAAUGGGGGAAACCCUGAUGCAGCGACGCCGCGUGAGUGAAGAAGUAUUUCGGUAUGUAAAGCUCUAUCAGCAGGGAAGAAAAUGACGGUACCUGACUAAGAAGCCCCGGCUAACUACGUGCCAGCCGCCGCCGUAAGAC